rnacentral:rRNA from 1 species
AUUUAUUUGAUGAAUGUAUGAGAAUACUAUUUGGAUAACCGUAGCAAUUCUAGAGCUAAUACAUGCAACGACGCCCGACCGUUUCACUACGGAAGGGCUGUAUUUAUUGGAUACCAAAACCAUCCUUCCCUCGGGAAGUUUUGUUUGAUGAUUCACAAUAACUGAUCGGAUCGCCACUGUGGUGGCGACAGGUCAUUCAACAUUCUGCCCUAUCAGCUUUCGAUGGUUGUGUAGUGGACAACCAUGGCCAUAACGGGUAACGGAGAAUCAGGGUUCGAUUCCGGAGAAGGAGCUUGAGAAUUGGCUACUACAUCUAAGGAAGGCAGCAGGCGCGCAAUUACCCAAUCCCGAUUCGGGGAGGUAGUGACAAAAAAUAACAAUACCGGGCCUUUUUGGGCUUGGUAAUUGGAAUGAGGGAGAGUUAAACGGACCAUCGAGUAUCCAUUGGAGGGCAAGUCUGGUGCCAGCAGCUGCGGUAAUACCAGCUCCAAUAGCGUAUAUUAAAGUUGUUGCAGUUAAAAAGCUCGUAGUUGGACUUGUGUGCGCUGUCCGCGGGUGGCCUGCGCCCAAAAGGGCGUUUCGGUUCGGCCCCGGUGGCGCCUUGAAAUCUGCAGCUGGGGGGACGUUGGCCUUAACUGGUCGGCGACCGCACGCCGGCUGCUCGGUUACUGUGAGAAAAUUAGAGUGUUCAAGGCAGGCAUUGGGUGCAAUUGAAUACGUUAGCAUGGAAUAAUAAAAUAUGGCUCCUGCCGUAUUUUGUUGGUUUUGACUGGUGGGAGUAAUGAUUGAUAGGGACGGUUGGGGGUGCUAGUAUUGAGCGGCCAGAGGUGAAAUUCAUGGAUUCGCUCAAGACUAACUUAUGCGAAAGCAUUCACCAAGGACGUCCUCUUUAAUCAAGAACGAAAGUUGGGGGAUCGAAGACGAUCAGAUACCGUCGUAGUCUCAACCAUAAACUAUGUCGACUUGGGAUCGGCGGUAGUUUUUUCAUUAAGACACUGUCGGGACCACGGGAGAAAUCAAAGUGUCUGGACUCUGGGGGAAGUAUGGUCGCAAGGCUGAAACUUGAAGGAAUUGACGGAAGGGCACCACCAGGAGUGGAGCCUGCGGCUUAAUUUGACCCAACACGGGGAAACUUACCAGGUCCAGAGAUGUAGAGGAUUGACAGAUUGAAGCUCUUUCUUGAUCACUUCGGUGGUGGUGCAUGGCC